rnacentral:ribozyme from 1 species
CCUACCCUUAAUUGGGUAGGUACACCAAUGUAGCUCAGACCUGUGACAAGCCAGGCUAGAAAAAUACAGAGUCGUGU